GCGCUGUGUGACUUCUAAGGUUAGGUCAUAAAAUGCGAUGUGGCUUACACCUGGUUGCCUCACUAUGCUCACCCUCAGAACCCAGUCACCAUGCUGUGAGGAAGCCCAGUUCACAGGAAGAGAGAACAGUUGACAGUGAGCUGUCUUGGAGGAUAGGCCCAUGUUGGAUUCUCUCUCUUCACUGGCACCUGAAAAAAAGAUUUACAUGGCCGGCCCCGUGGCCGAGUGGUUAAGUUCGUGCGCUCUGCUUCGAUGGCCCAGGGUUUUGCCGGUUCGGAUCCUGGGUGCGGACAUGGCACAGCUCAUCAAGCCACGCUGAGGCAGCGUCCCACAUGCCACAGCUAGAAGGACCCACAACUAAAAUAUACAACUAUGUACCGGG
rnacentral:lncRNA from 1 species